rnacentral:lncRNA from 1 species
AGUGACUUGCCCAGGGUCACACAGCUGGAAAGUGUCUGAGGUCAGAUUUGAACCUAGGACCUCCCGUUUCUAGGUCUAGCUCUCAAUCCAUUGAGCUAUCCAGCUGCCCCCAAAAAUACUUUUUGAAAACCCUUAUCUUCCAUCUUAGAACCAACUGGUUCUAAGGCAGAAGAGCAAUAAGGGGUGAACAAUGGGCAUUACAUGACUUGUCCAGGAUCACAUAGCAAGGAAGUGUCUGAGAUCAGAUUUGAACCUAGGACCUCCCAUCUCUGGGCCUGACUCUCAAUCCACUGAGCCAUCCAGCUUCCUUCUCUAUAGAAAAUCGCCUUUGAUUUAUUGUCACCUAUCACUGGAAUCUUCAGAUUGGGGACAGAUCGAAAUCGAUUUUGUUCAGCGAUUCAGUAUGUAUUCUAAGAUAUCCUUAUCAUAUACUGUGGGGUGAGCCCUGAACUUCUCAGAAAGAGCUUGCACGAGUGGUCUCAAAGGUCCCUUGAUAGGAAAAGGCAGGACUUUCCAAAUGAGUGCUUCAUGUCCUCUACUUGAUCCGAGUUGGCAGGGGUUAGACUGUCAUGGUCAGAGCCCAAGAUUAAGGCCUAUUUUCAACAAAGCUUUGCUAUAGAGCAGGGUUGCUGGUCAGCCCUGUGUUGUUAAGAAUGCUUGCUCACGAGUGUCCUCUUUGCCUGGAGUGCCCUGCCUUCCAUUCCUCCUCUUCAGAGGCACUUCAAAGUCUGCUUCCUUCAUGACGCCUCCCCUGGGCUUCCGUGAUAGCCCCUUGAUUUGAUUUGCUUUUGAAUUCUAGUUCUCGGAGUCUGGGUCUUCUCUCCUCAGUUGGGUGGGCUUGCUUCCUGAGGAGGGCAUGGAAACUCAUCUACACCUAUAGCCAGAGGACUCAGCUUUGAGGCUGGUCUCUGAUGCCUAUCAGCUUUGUGAACCAGGAGAAGAUACUGAUCCUCCGAGCCUUCAUUUCCGCUUCCUGAGUUACAGAGUUGUUGGAGAAAAAACACUUUGCAAAUCUUAAAGAUCUGUAUAAAUGCUCAAUAUUCUAACAUCCUUCCAACAGAUCUUGUAUUGCAGGAAUCAGUGAGAAAAAACAUAUACUUGAAAGGUAAUUACCAUAUGCCAGUCUCAGUGUUGGAAUUUGAUAUGCAAGAAGCUAAUAUCUGCUCUCAAGGGGUUCACAUUUUUAUUAAGAAGACAGUGUCAAUUAACAAGUCAAGAAGUAUUUCUUUUUUAAAAGUUUAUUU